AUGAAUCUACUAAGUUGGAACUGCCGGGGUGGGGGGAAUCCCCGGACAGUUCGUGAUGUUGCGACGUUGGUGCAGUCGCAUUCCCCCAUGUUUGUGUUUUUGUGAGAAACUCGACAAAAAGCUAGUAAGAUGAAAUAAUUAGGGCGUCUCGGCCUUCACGGUUUUGUGGGUGUGGACAGUAAUGGUUUAAGCGGUGGCCUAGCAUUGUUUUGGCACGAAUCU
rnacentral:rRNA from 1 species